UUUAAAUGUAAUUUUUUAAUUAAGUAGUAUUAGUUAUGUUCUUGAAAUUUAAAAAUUUUGGCGGUAUUUUAGUCUGUUUAGAGGAACCUGUUCUAUAAUUGAUAGUCCACGAUGAAUUAAACUUAAGUUAUAAAUUUGUAUAUCGUCGUUUUUAAUUAUUUUAUAAGAAUUAUAAUAGUUAAGAUUUUAGAUUAAAAAAUAAGUCAGAUCAAGGUGCAGUUUAUAUUUAAGUAGAAAUGGGUUACAAUAAAUGUAUUUAUUUAUGAAUUUAUUUAUGAAAAUUGGUAAUGAAGGAGGAUUUAAAAGUAAUAAAAUUUAAAUAUAUUUUAUGAUUUUAGCUCUAAAAUGUGU
rnacentral:rRNA from 1 species